CCAGGAUCGCGCCCUGGGCCAAAGGCAGGUGCCAAACCGCUGCGCCACCCAGGGAUCCCAAGACAGAAGACCCUGAGAGAAGGAUUAAGCACAUGUCAUGACUAUGGGGUGCAGAGAAACAGUGAAAAAGAUGUAUUUUAAACUUCAAGCAAAAGCACAACUAUCAAAAAUCUCUGAAGUUUAACCCAGCUUAAAAAUGUAAGGAAGAAACUUAAUUACAAAUGUAUUAUGUGACAGAAAUUCUGUUAAGAUCCUUCUUAUUACUUACUAUUGGCUUGGCACUUUCUGUGUUAUGUAAAGUACCAUCUUGUUUCAGAGUAUGGACUUUUGAAUCAGAUCAGAAUCUCUUCAGUCUAUUCAUGACCAGCUGAGUCAUCUUCAGCAUUUAUAUAUUAUCUUAAAGCCAUGGUUUCUUUAUUUAUACAAUGAAGAUAAUGUUAUCCAUCUCAUCGGUUUAUAAGUAAAAGUAAUCAUUGUUAUCAUUUGUAUGUAUUAGGCCUUUGUCUUACAGCCUUGACAUUUGGA